UGGGGAAUUUUGGACAAUGGGCGCAAGCCUGAUCCAGCCAUGCCGCGUGAGUGAAGAAGGCCUUCGGGUUGUAAAGCUCUUUCGGACGGAAAGAAAUCGUGCAGGCUAAUACCCUGCGCGGAUGACGGUACCGUCAUAAGAAGCACCGGCUAACUACGUGCCAGCAGCCGCGGUAAUACGUAGGGUGCGAGCGUUAAUCGGAAUUACUGGGCGUAAAGCGUGCGCAGGCGGUUGAUUAAGACAGGCGUGAAAUCCCCGGGCUUAACCUGGGAACUGCGCUUGUGACUGGUCAGCUAGAGUACGGCAGAGGGGGGUGGAAUUCCACGUGUAGCAGUGAAAUGCGUAGAGAUGUGGAGGAACACCGAUGGCGAAGGCAGCCCCCUGGGCCGAUACUGACGCUCAUGCACGAAAGCGUGGGUAGCAAACAGG
rnacentral:rRNA from 2 species